UACGUAGGGGGCAAGCGUUGUCCGGAUUCAUUGGGCGUAAAGAGCGUGUAGGCGGCCAGGUAGGUCGGUUGUGAAAACUGGAGGCUCAACCUUCAGAGGUCGACCGAAACCAUCUGGCUAGAGUCCGGGAGAGGAGAGUGGAAUUCCUGGUGUAGCGGUGAAAUGCGCAGAUACCAGGAAGAACACCCGUGGCGAAAGCGGCUCUCUGGAACGGUACUGACGCUGAGACGCGAAAGCGUGGGGAGCGAACAGG
rnacentral:rRNA from 1 species